rnacentral:rRNA from 1 species
AGGUCUUGACAUCCCGAUGCUAUUUCUAGAGAUAGAAAGUUACUUCGGUACAUCGGUGACAGGUGGUGCAUGGUUGUCGUCAGCUCGUGUCGUGAGAUGUGGUUAAGUCCGCAACGAGCGCAACCCCUAUUGUUAGUUGCCAUCAUUCAGUUGGGCACUCUAGCGAGACUGCCGGUAAUAAACCGGAGGAAGGUGGGGAUGACGUCAAAUCACCAUGCCCCUUAUGACCUGGGCUACACACGUGCUACAAUGGUUGGUACAACGAGUUGCGAGUCGGUGACGGCGAGCUAAUCUCUUAAAGCCAAUCUCAGUUCGGAUUGUAGGCUGCAACUCGCCUACAUGAAGUCGGAAUCGCUAGUAAUCGCGGAUCAGCACGCCGCGGUGAAUACGUUCCCGGGCCUU